AGAAGUUAGAGUAUUUUCUCUUAGCCAACACAUUGAUUCGCUAAGUGAAUUCUCUACCUUCGGU
rnacentral:pre_miRNA from 1 species